GACGAACGCUGGCGGCGUGCUUAACACAUGCAAGUCGAACGGUAAGGCCCUUCGGGGUACACGAGUGGCGAACGGGUGAGUAACACGUGGGUGAUCUGCCCUGCACUUCGGGAUAAGCCUGGGAAACUGGGUCUAAUACCGGAUAGGACUCCGGACUGCAUGGUCUGGGGUGGAAAGCUUUUGCGGUGUGGGAUGGGCCCGCGGCCUAUCAGCUUGUUGGUGGGGUGAUGGCCUACCAAGGCGACGACGGGUAGCCGGCCUGAGAGGGGGACCGGCCACACUGGGACUGAGAUACGGGCCAGACUCCUGCGGUAGGCAGCAGUGGGGAAUAUUGCACAAUGGGCGCAAGCCUGAUGCAGCGACGCCGCGUGAGGGAUGACGGCCUUCGGGUUGUAAACCUCUUUCAGCAUCGACGAAGUGAAAGUGACGGUAGGUGCAGAAGAAGGACCGGCCAACUACGUGCCAGCCGCCGCCGUAA
rnacentral:rRNA from 1 species